rnacentral:misc_RNA from 1 species
GAUGAAGAACGUAGCGAAAUGCGAUACGUAAUGUGAAUUGCAGAAUUCAGUGAAUCAUCGAGUCUUUGAACGCACAUUGCGCCCCCUGGUAUUCCGGGGGGCAUGCCUGUCCGAGCGUCAUUGCUGCCCUCAAGCACGGCUUGUGUGUUGGGCCUCCGUCCUCCUCCCGGGGGACGGGCCCGAAAGGCAGCGGCGGCACCGCGUCCGGUCCUCGAGCGUAUGGGGCUUCGUCACCCGCUCUGCAGGCCCGGCCGGCGCUGGCCGACGCGAAAGCAACCAUUUUUUCUCCAGGUUGACCUCGGAUCAGGUAGGGAUACCCGCUGAACUUAAGCAUAUCAAUAAGCGGAGGA